UAAGUCAGCCAGCAAUUCCCCAGGACAUAUCUGUCUCUUCCCAUCCCCAAGAAGUCCAUCCUCUCUAUUCCCUUGUUCCAUCACCCCCAGGGCUUCCUUUAAUUCGCUUCCUUGGAUUUGAAAGCUCAGGAAAACUAGCAGAUUCUGUGCAGGUAGAAGAGGAAAAGGUAGCUCAGAGGAGGAAGAAAAAAACCCUCCUCCUCUUAACACUCUACAGCUCUGUGAUCUAUUUCAUCAUGUGACAUUGCUAGUGACAAAACAAUGCUUGGGAGCAAUAAGCGAUUUUGUCAGCCUAGUUACAUCCUCCCCAGCUCCCACUUUCUCUUUGCUCUAUUACUGCUGUAGCAAUACUCUCAAAAGCACUGAUAAUUACCUGAUUUUGCACAACCAGUUCUUAAGCUAUGCAAUUCUGAUAGAUGAGGGUAUGCUCAUCAAGAAGGCGCAGGAACAGGUAUCUGACUUCAUACAGAGAACUUCCUCACUCCCCAAGAUCUGCCUGCUCAAUGGGACUGCUCAUGAAGGGAGACAGCCUGCAAGUGUUCACAAGUGAGGGACCCUGUCAGAUGCUUUUGGAAACCAAAGCUGCCUUCAUCAGCUGAGUCUCUUUCGAUGUUGUCAAAUCACAUUUUUUAAGAUGAGCACUUACAAGUUUGCAUGCAAGGUCUGAAGAUCUCUCCUGGAAUAGAAGGGUCAGGUGACCACUUGCCAGUCCUCCACUACUUUUCAAGCCUCAAGCAAAUUUGCUACAGCUAACAUUAUUGUAAAAAUCAGAAAUAAAUGCUUAUAAUAGAUAAGAAUUUUCCAGUACUAUCUCAUUUCUUCACUAACACCUAAGCAUCAAGAAGUUAAAGUCUACAGAAUCACAUUUUGUAGCUCAGUCCCAUGUCUAUUAAUGUUUUGUUCAUAUGAGGUUUGAGAAUUUGUUAUGAACUGUGGAAGUGCCUUUCCCAGAAAGCUUCCUUCCUUAUAAGAAAAUGUGGUCUCAAAG